UCAAAAUGGACAGUCCAUUUAAUUAGGGAAAAUGACACUUACAAAUGAGAUUAAUUUUUGCACCUGGUUAGUGGUUCAAGACAGUUGGGAUGAGCAACACUAGAUGUUUUUUCCUAUCUGUUCCAGACUUGGUGCCUAGUACUUGUGUUGCUGGUGUUAGAUGGUAGCCUGGUAGGUAUCCGGUGGCAGUGGCGGGGUCAAGAAUUUAGCAAAGGGUGUGCAAAUUUUCUUUUAAGGGUGUGCAAAAUUAAAUAUUUAUUCAUAAUAGCUAAUAUUUAACCUUUUGUAAAUCACGUAAUUACUCGACGAAGAGUGUUCAUCUUACCACCCUUCGUUUAAGGUGGCUCCGCCCAUGUCCAGUGAAUUUAGUCGAGGUGCGCGCAAUUUGGCUCGGAUACCAUGGUUAUCACACACACAAACAAAGAUUAGUACAACAUUGCUAGUAGCAGAGGCCUUAGUUUACAGUAGUAGCGUCGAAGCUAGUACUAGGAUUAGUAGCAUCUAAAAUAGAGCUAGAACUUGAUACAUUGAUUAUGCUAAGGCUUCCUAAGGUUGCUAGCAUAGUAGCAGUAGUUGCAGACACGAGUUUAGUAGUGGCUGCUCCUGAUGCAUUAACUUUCAGUGUCUUCAUAUGAUGUGCCAGUGGUGGAUCCAAAAUAUGUAGUUUAUCACUUGUAGAGAUGUUUAGUUUGCAACCGUUUUUAGCCAAAACAUCAGCCAGCAUAUGCGUUGCUUAAAAUUAUGCUGGACCUGCGGAUUCCCCAAUUCCUUCAAUCUUGACCUGCUUAAGUAGACAAGAUCUGUGUAUAGGGGAAGGAAAGUGGAGUUGAUGGAAGAGAUCAGUAGAAUCUGUUUCAAUUUCCACCAAGUUGAGAGUUUUUUCCUUAGCCAACCUGAGGCCCUGCUCUAAAGCUUGCAGUUCAGCCAUGGUUGGAGUAAGAGAGGUAUUUUUCAUAUAGAAACCAACCAACCAUUGUCCAGUUGAGUUCCGAAUGAUUCCUCUGAGGAUGGCAGUGAGAGUUGGAGAUUGAAAAGCCCCAUCAAUAUUAAGUUUGAGGCCUGUUGUAGGAGGGGGGUUCCACACAGUACGAACAGCAAUUUUAGCUGUUUGAGGGAUCUCAGCCGCAGAAAAAUAUAUUCAGAAGUACGCAUUAAGAUAUAGUUAUAGGAGAGGGGCUGAGGUUGAUUUUGUGCUCCGUUAAAGAGUGUCUGAUUUCUGUAAAUCCAUAUAUUCCAUAAUACAAAGGGGUAAAAGGGAAGCUGAUUGAGAGUGUCCUGAGACAUCUAAGGAGUGGGAGUGGGGAGAAUGGUCCAUUGGGGUUGGAGAUUGCGUAUCAACUUCGGGGCCACUGCAGGGCCAGUGGAUUUAGUACAUUCUCCAUCAUUGGUGAUGCAUGUAGGAAUCCAUAGAUAGUUUCAUGCCCCCCGUUAUGAGUUGGACUAGAAAGUUUGGGUUUUGUAUAUGAUCAUGGAGUUCACCCCGUUUAUGUCCAUCGUAAAGAACGCAGCUUUGUCUUUUAGAGCAUGUUUUAUCCAAGACUGCGUUUGUUGAAGUAGGUGGACUGUUUGUGUUGCAAACACCACUGCGUGUUCGGCCACUUGUUGGGAAGAUUGUAAGGAUUGUUGUUCAUGGUGGAAGAGGAGUGGGCGAUCCUGUUUCCAGUAAGUUUGAUAAUAAGGAAGUAUCACCAAGUAAAUGACUGGGGCAUUUGUUUGGAGAAUUUAAGGACAUGAGAAUCCAGUUGGAUUGGAGAUUCACUACACAUCAGUUUUGCUUUGAAAUUAAUUGCAGAGGAGUUAAGGAAGUCAGAGGAGGAGGAAAAGUGGUUUUGCCAUUGCUCGCAUUUGGAGGAAUUGCCCUUUGGAUUAAUUAUUACUACAGGAGAAGAACAAUAAUAAGUAACCAAGAAGAGAUUUUUGAGGUUGAUGACACAAAGGAGGAUUGUUUGAGUAAGCUACCAGAUGAUGUUUUGUGCUCCAUUCUUGGAAAUUUGACAGUACGCGAUGCUGCUAGGACGAGCAUUUUAUCUACCAGGUGGAAAUAUGUGUUUGCCUCUACGCAACUACGACAGCAACAACCCACAUUUGAAUUCAGAUGCUCUGAUAUGUUGAGGAUUCACCCUGGUCAUUCUUGUUGCUCUUACUAUCAAGAAAAAGAAAAAUUCAUGAAUGGAUUAUACCAGUUUUUAAGACACAAUUCUGGUUGUAGAGGUGGCUCAUGUUCAGAUGGUCUGUUGCUUUGGGAGAGAGUUUCCUAGUGCAUUUACCCAUUGGUUCCAAUCUCUUUCUAGAAUAAGUGUUGAAAGCUUACACCUUUCCUUUGAGUGCAUUCUCGGUGACUUAAGCCAGUUGCUUACAUUUUCUCUUGAGGUUCUCUCUCAGUCAUCUUCACUGGAACAUUUGGUUUUACAAGGCUGUGUUGUGUUAUCAAGUCCCAAAGUCCGUUUUAAUUCUCUCAU